AUUGAACGCUGGCGGCAGGCUUAACACAUGCAAGUAGAGCGAGCGGCGGACGGGUGAGUAAUGUGUGGGAAACUGCCUGAUGAGGGGGGAUAACUACUGGAAACGGUAGCUAAUACCGCAUACCAUCAGAUGUGCCCAGAUGGGAUGAGCUAGUCGGUGGGGUAAUGGAUCACCUAGGCGACGACCCCUAGCUGGUCUGAGAGGGUGACCAGCCACACUGGAACUAGGACACGGUCCAGACUCAUACGGGAGGCAGAGGGGUGGAAUAUUGCACAAUGGGCGCAAGCCUGAUGCAGCCAUGCCGCGUGUGUGAAGAAGGCCUUCGGGUUGUAAAGCACUUUCAGCGAGGAGGCGUUACUCGCAGAAGAAGCACCGGCUAACUCCGUGCCAGCAGCCGCGGUAAUUC
rnacentral:rRNA from 1 species